AAAUGCUUCUGGGUCUGCAGAGGAGCAAGCUGCGCUGGCCCACGAGGCCCUUCUCCCCGGGGCAGAUGGAUUUCAGGCGCCCCCCACCCCUUGAGGAGAAUAUCAAGGAAAUGGACAGAAGAGUAUAUUACAACUAUCAUCUCUGCCCUUGGCCUCGUGAGGGUCGCUGGGCUGGGACAAAGUCCUGCCUGGGCAGUUGACAUCAAAAUUCGUCGUGCCUUGCCUGCUUUAUGUGGGCAAAAGGAUGAAAGAAUUGCACUUCUGUUGCGCUUCCACUGCUAGAUCAUAAGCUCCCUGAAAACACGUUGCAUCUGUGUCUCUAGCAACUUCCACAAAUGUUUGGAGAAUAAAUUAAUGUGUGGCAGGGCGCGGUCCCUGUGAACUCUAACUGUGCUCUUUUUCUCUGUGACAGAAAAGGAGACAUUGCAGAGAAUCAACCUGUGCCUGCAGCUAGGGAUUCGUUAAUUACUUUGUUCCCUCUUUUCCUCCCUCCCUCCCUUCCUCCUUUCCUUUCGCUAACAUUUUGAUGGAUACCUCAUGUGUGCUGGAGAUCAGGCGGUGGACCAGGGAUACAAGAAACGAGACUCCUAGCCCUUGAGAUGCUCUUCAUGUGGUGAGGGGUGCUGCAUACAAGCAAACAGUUCACCAGGGCUCUGGGUGACAAGUGCCAUGGAUAGCAGUAGGGCGGCCCUCAGCCCAGCUCCUGGGGAGGGAGGAAGGGAGGGAGGAUGUCCAGGUGGAGGCUGGGUGAGUAGAAACUUACCAGGAGAAAGGCCCUUUGCCCACAUAGGUCUCCCUGCAUAGCCCACCCCCAGCCCAUUCCCCUCCCACUUAUUCCUCUGGCCUCAGGUGAAAUGUCACUUCCCUGGUGCCUGGGCCAGAUCAGGUCCUCCAGUUACAGGAUCCUGUAGCUCUUUCAUCUUCUCUUUUGUAAUACUCAUCAAAUGUACAACCGGGCAAAAUUCACCCUCCCCACCGGACUGUAAGUUUCGUGAGCCAGCACUGUGCCUGACUCCUCAUGCCCCAUAAAUACUUGUUGAGCCAAUGAAUAGUCAGACUCCUCUUAAGUUAGUGAGAAAUCCAUACAUACAUUUUCUGUUUGGGAUGCCAGGACAAGCUGUGACGGCUCCACUCCGAGUACCAGUGGGAACUGCCUGGUACCAAGGGGCUGUGGUUUCAAAUUUAUUAUUUUGUGAUAUUCUGCACCUCGGUGAUUUUGAAACUGCCUUCUUCCAAAUGAGUGUCAAGUAGAUGCUCCUCAAAAAGGGAUCCUCGGGCAAACAGGUUUCUUUGCCAGAGGAUUUUACAGAGCCUAUGAUGUGUUCAUGUGCACUGUCCUCAGGCAGGUAGUUUGUUGAAGAAGCAUCUAGUAACAUUUGCAGCUGGAGGAUAUCGAUGAAGCUCAGUGUUAACUUUGCCGCACCGUUUCUCCGUAACUCCUCCUAGGCUCUGAGAGAUAGAAGGAGCUGGGAUCAAGGGAUCUGCACAAGAUUAAUUUGCCAUAAUGAAGGUCUACUCCUUCCCCUUGAUUUCUUUGUUAUGCCAUGUGACAAAUUGUUGUUUUUGACAAACAGAGCAUUGAGGGAGGCCGAGGCAGAUAGGCAGAUAGAUCAGCUGAGGUCAGGGGUUCAACACCAGCCUGGCCAACAUGGUGAAACCCCAUCUCUACUAAAAGUACAAAAAUUAGCCAGGCAUGGUGGCAUGAGUCUAUAGUCCCAGCUGCUUGGGAGACUGAGGAAGGAGAAUCACUUUAACCUGGGAUGUAGAGGCUGCAGUGAGCCAAGAUUACACCAUUGCACUCCAGCCUGGGCAACAGAGCCAGAUUCCACCUCAAAAAAAAAAAAAAGGAUUGAAGAUGUAGAUUAAGGAGGCAUUGGGGGUACUCUAUAGUGUCACCUGAGUUUAAAUCCAGCUCUGGCACUACUUAGCUGUAUGACUUUGGAGGACUUCCUUAGCAUCUCUGUGCCCAGGUACUUUAUUUGUACAUAGAGAUAAUAGUUUCUAAUUUACAGUCUUGUUAAGACGUUAAAAGCUCUUAUAGGCACGUAGAAUUCUCAUGGUAGAUAUAAAUUUUAUUUAAAUUGCUAAUAAUUGGUUAAUUAAAAAAUAAAUAUCCAACCUCUAAUAGGUUAAUUUAACUAAUUAAGCCUGGUGUAUUAAUGGAGAGGGAUCACAGUGGCUGAUAGCCCGAGGGACUAGGUUUU
rnacentral:lncRNA from 1 species